rnacentral:rRNA from 1 species
AGAGUUUGAUCCUGGCUCAGAACGAACGCUGGCGGCAGGCCUAACACAUGCAAGUCGAACGUGAAGCCACCUUCGGGUGGUGGAAAGUGGCAGACGGGUGAGUAACGCGUGGGAACGUGCCUUUCGGUUCGGAAUAACCCAGGGAAACUUGGGCUAAUACCGGAUACGCCCUUCGGGGGAAAGAUUUAUCGCCGAAAGAUCGGCCCGCGUCGGAUUAGCUAGUUGGUAGGGUAAUGGCCUACCAAGGCGACGAUCCGUAGCUGGUCUGAGAGGAUGACCAGCCACACUGGGACUGAGACACGGCCCAGACUCCUACGGGAGGCAGCAGUGGGGAAUAUUGGACAAUGGGCGAAAGCCUGAUCCAGCCAUGCCGCGUGGGUGAAGAAGGCCCUAGGGUUGUAAACCCCUUUCAGCGGGGAAGAUAAUGACGGUACCCGCAGAAGAAGCCCCGGCUAACUCCGUGCCAGCAGCCGCGGUAAUACGGAGGGGGCUAGCGUUGUUCGGAAUUACUGGGCGUAAAGCGCGCGUAGGCGGAUCUGCAAGUCGGGGGUGAAAUCCCGAGGCUCAACCUCGGAACUGCCUUCGAUACUGCGGGUCUCGAGUCCGGGAGAGGUGAGUGGAAUUCCUAGUGUAGAGGUGAAAUUCGUAGAUAUUAGGAAGAACACCAGUGGCGAAGGCGGCUCACUGGCCCGGUACUGACGCUGAGGCGCGAAAGCGUGGGGAGCAAACAGGAUUAGAUACCCCCGUAGUCC